rnacentral:lncRNA from 1 species
AUUUAUUAUAUUUUUUUUAAAAAUUCUUUUAAAUUAUUAUGCUUAAAUUUUAAUUUAAGAUCUAAACAUACUACUGAUAUAAAAAUAAUAUAAUAUUUUAAUCACUAUUAUUUAAUAUUAAUAAUAAAUUAAUAUUUAAUUAAAAAUAUUUAAAAAAGAGUUCACUUAGAGCUCAAUCCACUCAUUUUUUAGAUUCUGAGCUGAUCUAACCACUAUUAGAAAAUCUGAAAAUUAAUUUUUAAAAAUUAUAUUAUUUUUUUCUCGUCAGAUCAUUCACAAACAGAUUGCGACUUUGACCCGAUUUUGAUAGAAUAAUCAAAGUAAUCUAUUUGAAAAUACAGCUCUUUAGUUGGUCCGUCUUUUUAGGAGAGUAAAAAAAAGCUCAAUCUUUUCUGAGAAGCAGAUAGAUCGUGUACUUGAUAAUUCAAAGAAUCUGGAGCUCAUAAUUUUGACCAUAUGGACUUUCGUGCGUUUCCGCGAUGUCAUGGCCAACGUGACUCGGCAACUUUAGUUUGUAUAAAGAUUUAGGUAAGUGCGACGCGAAGUAGCUAAUGAGCUUCGAUUACACUACUACUAACAGCCUCAUUGUUGGCUUCAAAGAGUUGUAUUCUGUCCUGCGGAGAUAGAUCAAGUUGGAUCAAGUUAUUUUCGAAAUAGCAGAAGGUUGAGUUGGAUCGUUGCCCGACGUGGCGUGAGGCUGGUUGGACUAAGAUACAAUCGAGAUCCGUGGACGUUGUGUAUGUACACUUUAAGUGAAUUAUUUAUUCAUUUUUAACAGCUUGAGCUCGUUUUUGGGAUUAAUGAUUAGCGUUAACGAUACGACAAGUGGUUCCAGAGUCAGAGAUCAUGGAUUCUAUUCCCGCAUACUGUGAAUUUAUCCAGGCGCUGAUCAAGCUGUGUUGAGUCAUCUUCGAAGUAGCAUAAGGCCAGCUAGGCUGAGUCACAAUCAAGAUACGUGGAUGUGAAUGCUGUGUUUAUGCACUUUAAGUAAAUUAGUUAAGUCUCAUGGCUUUUGUGAAGGCACAAUAUGUUAUCUGUUAAUCGGACUUCUCGAAUUAAGCCUUUAAC